AAAUCUUGACAUCCUCUGACCCUCUAGAGAUUAGAGUUUUCCCCUUCGGGGACAGAGUGACAGGUGGUGCAUGGUUGUCGUCAGCUCGUGUCGUGAGAUGUUGGGUUAAGUCCCGCAACGAGCGCAACCCUUAAGCUUAGUUGCCAUCAUUAAGUUGGGCACUCUAAGUUGACUGCCGGUGACAAACCGGAGGAAGGUGGGGAUGACGUCAAAUCAUCAUGCCCCUUAUGAUUUGGGCUACACACGUGCUACAAUGGACAAUACAAAGGGCAGCGAAACCGCGAGGUCAAGCAAAUCCCAUAAAGUUGUUCUCAGUUCGGAUUGUAGUCUGCAACUCGACUAUAUGAAGCUGGAAUCGCUAGUAAUCGUAGAUCAGCAUGCUACGGUGAAUACGUUCCCGGGUCUUGUACACACCGCCCGUCACACCACGAGAGUUUGUAACACCCGAAGCCGGUGGAGUAACCAUUUGGAGCUAGCCGUCGAAGGUGGGACAAAUGAUUGGGGUGAAGUCGUAACAAGGUAAGCGUAGCGAG
rnacentral:rRNA from 1 species